rnacentral:rRNA from 1 species
GAUGGACGCUAGCGACAGGCCUAACACAUGCAAGUCGAGGGGUAACAGGGGAGCUUGCUUCCGCUGACGACCGGCGCACGGGUGAGUAACGCGUAUGCAACCUAGCCGUAAGAGGGGAAUAGCCUCUCGAAAGAGAGAUUAACACCGCAUAAGAUUAUCGGAAGGCAUCUGUUGAUAAUUAAAUAUUAAUAGCUUAAGGAUGGGCAUGCGUCUGAUUAGUUAGUUGGGGAGGUAACGGCUCACCAAGACAACGAUCAGUAGGGGUUCUGAGAGGAAGGUCCCCCGCACUGGUACUGAGACACGGACCAGACUCCUACGGGAGGCAGCAGUGAGGAAUAUUGGUCAAUGGGCGCAAGCCUGGACCAGCCAAGUCGCGUGCAGGAAGACUGCCCUAUGGGUUGUAAACUGCUUUUAUAAGGGAAUAAAAAACGUCAUGUAUGAUGUCUUGUAGGUACCUUAAGAAUAAGGAUCGGCUAACUCCGUGCCAGCCGCCGCCGUAACAC